rnacentral:rRNA from 1 species
AGUGAACGCUGGCGGCAGGCCUAACACAUGCAAGUCGAACGGCAGCACAAGAGAGCUUGCUCUCUGGGUGGCGAGUGCGGACGGGUGAGGAAUGCAUCGGAAUCUGCCCAUUUGUGGGGGAUAACCUCGGGAAACCGGGACUAAUACCGCAUACGACCUACGGGUGAAAGCAGGGGAUCUUCGGACCUUGCGCAGAUGGAUGAGCCGAUGCCGGAUUAGCUAGUUGGAGGGGUAAAGGCCACCAAGGCGACGAUCCGUAGCUGGUCUGAGAGGAUGAUCAGCCACACUGGGACUGAGACACGGCCCAGACUCCUACGGGAGGCAGCAGUGGGGAAUAUUGGACAAUGGGCGCAAGCCUGAUCCAGCCAUGCCGCGUGUGUGAAGAAGGCCUUCGGGUUGUAAAGCACUUUUGUUGGGAAAGAAAAGCAGCCGGUUAAUACCCGGUUGUCAUGACGGUACCCAAAGAAUAAGCACCGGCUAACUUCGUG